rnacentral:rRNA from 1 species
UACGUAGGGUGCAAGCGUUGUCCGGAAUUAUUGGGCGUAAAGAGCUCGUAGGCGGUUUGUUGCGUCGGCUGUGAAAACCUGAGGCUCAACCUCAGGCCUGCAGUCGAUACGAGCAGACUAGAGUGUUGCAGGGGAGACUGGAAUUCCUGGUGUAGCGGUGAAAUGCGCAGAUAUCAGGAGGAACACCGGUGGCGAAGGCGGGUCUCUGGGCAACAACUGACGCUGGAGGAGCGAAAGUG